rnacentral:tmRNA from 1 species
GUCCUCGUAAAAAAACCUGGAAGACGCAAUACGCGUCACGCAACCUGCUCUCGCCGCCGCGGCCUAAUCCCCGCGGCCGUCCCCCCGGCAGGGCCGACGGGCCGGGACGGGGCGUCAUGAGUCGGCUGCGUCGCGCCGCUCCGCCCCCGGUGGCGUGACUAAGACCGGUGGGGCUGGUGCCCGGGGGAUCCCGCCUGCGGGAGCCUCCGGGUGCGAGAGGAAAACGCAGGCUACGCUCGUAGACGCUCUGCCCUCACUCACCUCGGACGCGGGUUCGAUUCCCGCCGCCUCCACCA